rnacentral:tRNA from 1 species
GCACUUGUAGCUCAUUGGUUAGAGCAUCCGCCUGUCGAGCGGAGGGUAGAGGGUUCGAUCCCCUUCUGGUGCGC